rnacentral:lncRNA from 1 species
CUCUCUUUGAGCCAUAUUCAACUCAUGAGUCAUGAGUGAACCUAUCAACUCCUUUAGGGAUAGCCUGGUAAGAUCUUUAGCUUCUUGUAUAGCUAUCACUUUCGCUUUCCAUUUCUUUGGCAAAGACCUCAACACCUUGUAAACAAAUUCAUAGUUAGUGUAGGUUUUAUCAAUACCAUUUAAAGUAUUGAUAAUAUCAGUAAAUUUGAAAAAUAUAUUAGAAUUUGAUUCAUAUUUUUUUAUUUUAAAUAUUUCAUACUUGUGAAUAAGUAAAUUAAUUUUAGAUUCUUUAACUUGGCUGGUUUCCUCAUGAGUAAUUUUUAAUUUAUCCCAAAUC